UACGAAGGGGGGCUAGCGUUGUUCGGAAUUACUGGGCGUAAAGCGCGCGCAGGCGGCCAUUCAAGUCAGGGGUGAAAGCCCAGAGCUCAACUCUGGAACUGCCCUUGAAACUGUAUGGCUUGAGUAUGAGAGAGGUGAGUGGAAUUCCCAGUGUAGAGGUGAAAUUCGUAGAUAUUGGGAAGAACACCGGUGGCGAAGGCGGCUCACUGGCUCAUUACUGACGCUCAGGCGCGACAGCGUGGGGGAUCAAAACAGG
rnacentral:rRNA from 1 species